rnacentral:rRNA from 1 species
UUUAUACAGUGAAACUGCGAAUGGCUCAUUAUAUCAGUCAUAGUUUAUUUGAAAGUCCCUUACUACAUG